GUGUCAGAAAAAGUAUUUACCAAAAUGGGUUACUUUUUUCAUUGGUGCCUAUUAGAUAGGCGCCAAUGAAUAAAAAAAUAAUAAUUUUUUUGAAUAAAAUAUUUUCUUUAUAUUUUUUAAUAAAUUAAAAAAAUAUGGGUCAAAAUACGGUCAACGGGUUGGGUCGGGUGGCGCCUAUCAUGUAGGCGCCAAUGAAGGUGCCUCAUAGAGAGGCGCCAAUGGUGGCCUUCUACCCACCGCUGCGCGGCUGCACCAGCAGCAUACUAUUGAGGAGAACAUUGAUGACCGUAAUCGCCCACAACAUGAGCGUCAAGC
rnacentral:lncRNA from 1 species